rnacentral:rRNA from 1 species
UACAGAGGUCCCAAGCGUUGUUCGGAUUCAUUGGGCGUAAAGGGUGCGUAGGUGGCGUCGUAAGUCGGGUGUGAAAUCUCGGGGCUUAACUCCGAAACUGCAUUCGAUACUGCGGUGCUUGAGGACUGGAGAGGAGACUGGAAUUCAUGGUGUAGCAGUGAAAUGCGUAGAGAUCAUGAGGAAGACCAGUGGCGAAGGCGGGUCUCUGGACAGUUCCUGACACUGAGACACGAAGGCCAGGGGAGCAAACGGG